rnacentral:rRNA from 1 species
UCACUCUAGCGAGACUGCCGGUAAUAAACCGGAGGAAGGUGGGGAUGACGUCAAAUCAUCAUGCCCCUUAUGACCUGGGCUACACACGUGCUACAAUGGCUGGUACAACGAGUCGCAAGCCGGUGACGGCAAGCUAAUCUCUUAAAGCCAGUCUCAGUUCGGAUUGUAGGCUGCAACUCGCCUACAUGAAGUCGGAAUCGCUAGUAAUCGCGGAUCAGCACGCCGCGGUGAAUACGUUCCCGGGCCUUGUACACACCGCCCGUCACACCACGAGAGUUUGUAACACCCGAAGUCGGUGAGGUAACCUUUAUAGGAGCCAACCGCCUAAGGUGGGAUAGAUGAUUGGGGUGAAGUCGUAACAAGGUAACCGUAA